UACGGAGGGUGCAAGCGUUAAUCGGAAUUACUGGGCGUAAAGCGUGCGUAGGCGGUUCGUUAAGUCUGUUGUGAAAGCCCCGGGCUCAACCUGGGAAUGGCAAUGGAUACUGGCGAGCUAGAGUGUGUCAGAGGAUGGUGGAAUUCCCGGUGUAGCGGUGAAAUGCGUAGAGAUCGGGAGGAACAUCAGUGGCGAAGGCGGCCAUCUGGGACAACACUGACGCUGAGGCACGAAAAGCGUGGGGAGCAAACAGG
rnacentral:rRNA from 1 species